rnacentral:rRNA from 1 species
ACCCAUGUCUUUUGAGUACUUACGUUUCCUCGGUGGGUUCGCCCGCCGAUUGGACAAUUUAAACCCUUUGCAGUUGCAAUCAGCGUCUGAAAAACAUAAUAGUUACAACUUUCAACAACGGAUCUCUUGGUUCUGGCAUCGAUGAAGAACGCAGCGAAAUGCGAUAAGUAGUGUGAAUUGCAGAAUUCAGUGAAUCAUCGAAUCUUUGAACGCACAUUGCGCCCCUUGGUAUUCCAUGGGGCAUGCCUGUUCGAGCGUCAUUUGUACCUUCAAGCUUUGCUUGGUGUUGGUGUUUGUCUCGCCUUUGCGUGUAGACUCGCCUUAAAACAAUUGGCAGCCGGCGUAUUGAUUUCGGAGCGCAGUACAUCUCGCGCUUUGCACUCAUAACGACGACGUCCAAAAGUACUUUUUUACACUCUUGACCUCGGAUCAGGUAGG